rnacentral:rRNA from 1 species
UGCCUAUACAUGCAGUCGAGCGAACAGAUAAGGAGCUUGCUCCUUUGACGUUAGCGGCGGACGGGUGAGUAACACGUGGAUAACCUACCUAUAAGACUGGGAUAACUUCGGGAAACCGGAGCUAAUACCGGAUAACAUAUUGAACCGCAUGGUUCAAUAGUGAAAGGCGGCUUUGCUGUCACUUAUAGAUGGAUCCGCGCCGUAUUAGCUAGUUGGUAAGGUAACGGCUUACCAAGGCAACGAUACGUAGCCGACCUGAGAGGGUGAUCGGCCACACUGGAACUGAGACACGGUCCAGACUCCUACGGGAGGCAGCAGUAGGGAAUCUUCCGCAAUGGGCGAAAGCCUGACGGAGCAACGCCGCGUGAGUGAUGAAGGUCUUCGGAUCGUAAAACUCUGUUAUCAGGGAAGAACAAAUGUGUAAGUAACUGUGCACAUCUUGACGGUACCUGAUCAGAAAGCCACGGCUAACUACGUGCCAGCAGCCGCGGUAAUACGUAGGUGGCAAGCGUUAUCCGGAAUUAUUGGGCGUAAAGCGCGCGUAGGCGGUUUUUUAAGUCUGAUGUGAAAGCCCACGGCUCAACCGUGGAGGGUCAUUGGAAACUGGAAAACUUGAGUGCAGAAGAGGAAAGUGGAAUUCCAUGUGUAGCGGUGAAAUGCGCAGAGAUAUGGAGGAACACCAGUGGCGAAGGCGACUUUCUGGUCUGUAACUGACGCUGAUGUGCGAAAGCGUGGGGAUCAAACAGGAUUAGAUACCCUGGUAGUCCACGCCGUAAACGAUGAGUGCUAAGUGUUAGGGGGUUUCCGCCCCUUAGUGCUGCAGCUAACGCAUUAAGCACUCCGCCUGGGGGAGUACGACCGCAAGGUUGAAACUCAAAGGAAUUGACGGGGACCCGCACAAGCGGUGGAGCCAUGGUGGUUUAAUUCGAAGCAACGCGAAGAACCUUACCAAAUCUUGACAUCCUUUGAC